AUGGAUGUGUACGGACACAAUAUCAGUGCUGGUCAUAUCAUAACAUCUAUUUGGAUUGCUAACAUGGAGGGUGAUCCAAAGACAGAUGAGAAUGCAAUUUGGGUCGGGUGGCAAGUUGACCCAAAAAAAUAUGGGGACUCACAUACUCACUUCUUCACGAGUUGGACGAGAGACACAUAUCAUACAGGGUGCUAUGACAUGGACUGCCCUGGUUUCCAGCUUGUUAAGGGGUCAAAAAUCGCUCCGGGUGGCACAAUACAACCAGUCUCUCAUGUUCAUGGUGUACGUCAAAAGAUUACAAUUAAAAUGUUUAGGGAAAAAUCCACGGGAAAUUGGUGGAUACACUACGGCUUCAAUAAGGCCCCAACACCGGUGGGCUAUUACCCAGCAAAAUUGUUUGACAAGUUAUCGAAGAAGGCGACCCAAAUUUCAAUUGGUAGCAUUGUUGGGGGGAGUCCGUCUAUCCCAUCCCCUCCAAUGGGUAGUGGAUUCUUGCCUUCUGAUAAAGCUGCAUUAAUCACAAAUAUUUCACUCAUUGGGGAAGAUGGCAGGAUGACACCUUUUACUGUGAAUACAGACAGGUUACAGAGUAAGAGUAGUUGUUACUCUAUCUCACCUAUCCAAGGUGCAAAAUGUUCCUAUGGAGGUCCAGGAGGUUGCUCCGCCUAG
rnacentral:rRNA from 1 species